AAAAAGCUUUUGCUUUCUUAUCUUCCAUUUCCACCAUAUUUCACCAAAAAGAUAAAAUCUCCAGCCACACAAAAUCUGUUCUUAAGUGUAAUAACCAGCAAGGAAACCAUAGAAAGGGAGGAAAGAAGGAGAGAAGUUAAGGUGCUUAAGUGAACAAACUCAAAGGGAGGAAGGUACAUCAAAGGGGAAAGGCAAGGAAAAAUAGUAACUAAGGUGUACCUAAAGAUUUUGAAAAGAAUUUACAAAAGGUAAUAAAUAGAGGAAGCAACAGUUAGGAGGUCUGGUUCUGCAUCAGCACAGAGACAUCAUCAUAACCAGUUGUUCACAAGAUUUGUCCAGAGAGAGGAUGUCUGAGGAAUCACAACGUGCUAUAGAUGAGGAGGUGGGAAGUCAUGCCCCCUCAGAACCCAUUGAGCCAGCAGUUGCACCAGCCCCUCAUGGUGAAGAUAGGCA